AAGCAGCCACUCAUUCAAAGAGUGCGUAAUAGCUCACUGGUCGAGUGAUCCUGCGCCGAAGAUUUCCGGGGCUAAAACUUACUACCGAAGCUACGGCAUCAUUAUGAUGGGUAGGGGAGCUUCCCAUACGGGUUGAAGCAUGACCGUAAGGACAUGUGGACAGUAUGGGAGUGGGAAUGUUGGCAUGAGUAGCGAGAUGUGGGUGAGAAUCCCACAGGCCGUAAACCCAAGGUUUCCAGGGGAAGGUUCGUCCGCCCUGGGUUAGUCGGGACCUAAGCUGAGGCCGAAAGGCGUAGGUGAUGGACAACAGGUUGAUAUUCCUGUACUACCGAUAACC
rnacentral:rRNA from 1 species